UGGGGAAUAUUGCACAAUGGGCGCAAGCCUGAUGCAGCCAUGCCGCGUGUAUGAAGAAGGCCUUCGGGUUGUAAAGUACUUUCAGCGAGGAGGAAGGCGUUAAGGUUAAUAACCUUAGCGAUUGACGUUACUCGCAGAAGAAGCACCGGCUAACUCCGUGCCAGCAGCCGCGGUAAUACGGAGGGUGCAAGCGUUAAUCGGAAUUACUGGGCGUAAAGCGCACGCAGGCGGUCUGUUAAGUCAGAUGUGAAAUCCCGGC
rnacentral:rRNA from 1 species